rnacentral:rRNA from 1 species
UCAAACCUACGGGGGGCAGCAGUAGGGAAUCUUCCACAAUGGGCGAAAGCCUGAUAGAGCAACGCCGCGUGGGUGAAGAAGGUCUUCGGAUCGUAAAACCCUGUUAUUAGAGAAGAAAGUGCGUGAGAGUAACUGUUCACGUUUCGACGGUAUCUAACCAGAAAGCCACGGCUAACUACGUGCCAGCAGCCGCGGUAAUACGUAGGUGGCAAGCGUUAUCUGGAUUUAUUGGGCGUACAGGGAACGCAGGCGGUCUUUUAAGGCUGAUG